rnacentral:rRNA from 1 species
CUGGGAUAAGCCUGGGAAACUGGGUCUAAUACCGGAUACGACCAUCUGACGCAUGUCAUGGUGGUGGAAAGCUUUUGUGGUUUUGGAUGGACUCGCGGCCUAUCAGCUUGUUGGUGGGGUAAUGGCCUACCAAGGCGACGACGGGUAGCCGGCCUGAGAGGGUGACCGGCCACACUGGGACUGAGACACGGCCCAGACUCCUACGGGAGGCAGCAGUGGGGAAUAUUGCACAAUGGGCGAAAGCCUGAUGCAGCGACGCCGCGUGAGGGAUGACGGCCUUCGGGUUGUAAACCUCUUUCAGUAGGGAAGAAGCGAAAGUGACGGUACCUGCAGAAGAAGCGCCGGCUAACUACGUGCCAGCAGCCGCGGUAAUACGUAGGGCGCAAGCGUUAUCCGGGAAUUAUUGGGCGUAAAGAGCUCGUAGGCGGUUUGUCGCGUCUGCUGUGAAAGACCGGGGCUCAACUCCGGUUCUGCAGUGGGUACGGGCAGACUAGAGUGCAGUAGGGGAGACUGGAAUUCCUGGUGUAGCGGUGAAAUGCGCAGAUAUCAGGAGGAACACCGAUGGCGAAGGCAGGUCUCUGGGCUGUAACUGACGCUGAGGAGCGAAAGCAUGGGGAGCGAACAGGAUUAGAUACCCUGGUAGUCCAUGCCGUAAACGUUGGGCACUAGGUGUGGGGGACAUUCCACGUUUUCCGCGCCGUAGCUAACGCAUUAAGUGCCCCGCCUGGGGAGUACGGCCGCAAGGCUAAAACUCAAAGGAAUUGACGGGGGCCCGCACAAGCGGCGGAGCAUGCGGAUUAAUUCGAUGCAACGCGAAGAACCUUACCAAGGCUUGACAUGAACCGGAAAGACCUGGAAACAGGUGCCCCGCUUGCGGUCGGUUUACAGGUGGUGCAUGGUUGUCGUCAGCUCGUGUCGUGAGAUGUUGGGUUAAGUCCCGCAACGAGCGCAACCCUCGUUCUAUGUUGCCAGCGCGUUAUGGCGGGGACUCAUAGGAGACUGCCGGGGUCAACUCGGAGGAAGGUGGGGACGACGUCAAAUCAUCAUGCCCCUUAUGUCUUGGGCUUCACGCAUGCUACAAUGGCCGGUACAAAGGGUUGCGAUACUGUGAGGUGGAGCUAAUCCCAAAAAGCCGGUCUCAGUUCGGAUUGGGGUCUGCAACUCGACCCCAUGAAGUCGGAGUCGCUAGUAAUCGCAGAUCAGCAACGCUGCGGUGAAUACGUUCCCGGGCCUUGUACACACCGCCCGUCAAGUCACGAAAGUUGGUAACACCCGAAGCCGGUGGCCUAACCCUUGUGGGGGGAGCCGUCGAAGGUGGGACCGGCGAUUGGGACUAAG